rnacentral:rRNA from 1 species
GACGAACGCUGGCGGCGUGCUUAACACAUGCAAGUCGAACGGAAAGGCCCUGCAUUUGUGGGGUGCUCGAGUGGCGAACGGGUGAGUAACACGUGAGUAACCUGCCCUUGACUUUGGGAUAACUUCAGGAAACUGGGGCUAAUACCGGAUAGGAACUCCUGCUGCAUGGUGGGGGUGGGAAAGUUUCGGCGGUUGGGGAUGGACUCGCGGCUUAUCAGCUUGUUGGUGGGGUAGUGGCUUACCAAGGCUUUGACGGGUAGCCGGCCUGCGAGGGUGACCGGCCACAUUGGGACUGAGAGACGGCCCAGACGCCUACGGGAGGCAGCAGUGGGGAAUAUUGCACAAUGGGCGGAAGCCUGAUGCAGCAACGCCGCGUGCGGGAUGACGGCCUUCGGGUUGUAAACCGCUUUCGCCUGUGACGAAGCGUGAGUGACGGUAAUGGGUAAAGAAGCACCGGCUAACUACGU